GACAGAGGGUGCAAACGUUGUUCGGAAUUACUGGGCGUAAAGCGAGUGUAGGCGGUCCGCUAAGUCGGGUGUGAAAGCCCUGGGCUCAACCCAGGAAGUGCACUCGAAACUGGCAGGCUAGAGUACUGGAGAGGUUGGUGGAAUUCUCGGUGUAGAGGUGAAAUUCGUAGAUAUCGAGAGGAACACCGGUGGCGAAGGCGGCCAACUGGACAGAUACUGACGCUGAGACUCGAAAGCGUGGGGAGCAAACAGG
rnacentral:rRNA from 1 species